UACGGGAGGCAGCAGUAGGGAAUUUUCCACAAUGGGCGAAAGCCUGAUGGAGCAACGCCGCGUGCAGGAUGAAUGCCUUCGGGUUGUAAACUGCUUUUAUGUAGUGAAGAAUAUGACGGUAACUAAUGAAUAAGGGUCGGCUAACUACGUGCCAGCAGCCGCGGUCAUACGUAGGACCCAAGCGUUUUCCGGAAUUACUGGGCGUAAAGAGUUGCGUAGGUGGCAUGAUAAGUGGAUGCGUGAAAGCGUGCGGCUCAACCGCAUAUCCGCAUUCCAAACUAUUAAGCUUGAGUAUGAGAGAGGUAGAUGGAAUUUCUAGUGUAGGAGUGAAAUCCGUAGAUAUUAGAAGGAACACCGAUGGCGUAGGCAGUCUACUGGCUCAUUACUGACACUAAGGCACGAAAGCGUGGGGAGCGAACAGGAUUAGAUACCCCGGUAGUCCACGCCGUAAACAAUGGAUGCUAGCUGUGACACACAUCGACCUGUGCAGUAGCGAAGUUAACGCG
rnacentral:rRNA from 1 species